AAGUCGCAUCUCCCUUCCAAGUCUCAGUUCCUUCCAAACAACGUUACAAGCACAUGAAAGCCAAGGCCCAGGCAGUUACUGCCACUGGCACUUUUUUGUGCUUCCUCCAAAGGACGCUUCCCAAAAGGAGCAUGAAAACGUGGGGCAGGAGUGAACCCUCUGGUCUCUGGGUCAGGAUGGUGUCAAAUAUUUGGGGAUGCGACCCUUAAGAAGAAUCAGGGAGGCAGGUUGGAAGGAGUCAGGAGUCAGAAUCCUCAGAAACAAAGCAGAAGACAUCACCAGAAGGAAUCUGAAUCUUUGAUCCCCACUUAUUCCCAGUCUGCAGGAUCCAGAAAAGUUUAUGGUGUACUCCUCUUCGCUUCCCCGCCUGUCCCGGCCCGCACACUUCUCUGCCCACGUCUUGGUGACGUCACCAGCACCGCGGGAAAAUUCCAGAGAACCUCCCCACUCUGUGGAGCUUCGGGAUUCAAGCUGUCUGGAGGCAGGGCCAAACUUUCCUACCCUUGUGAGAUGCUUGUAGAAACCUGCACUCGUGACCUCAGGGUCUGCUUCAAGGUAAAGGGGACCUAGGGCAGGAGAGGAGGAGAAUCCAGAUACAGUCUUCUCAAGGUCAGAGAGAUAUCUGCAGGUUGAUGGAGGCCGAGCCACACAUUAAGCUCCCGCCAGUAUGCCCAGUAACCCCUCUCCCCACCAGCGAGCUAGCUGAUAUGCAAACACAUGCUUCUACCUACAGUGUCCCAUGCAGAUCUGUUCUGUGUUUCUUGACAUGGUAGGGCCUCUACAGUGUUGAAAAUACUAAAAAGAAGAAGAAGAAGAAGGAAGUAGGAAGAAGAAAGAAAGAAGAAAGAAGAGGGAGAAAUCAACCUAGACUCCACUCACUAUUAAAAGUUAUUUGGCGGGGCGCCUGGGUGGCGCAGUCGGUUAAGCGUCCGACUUCAGCCAGGUCACGAUCUCGCGGUCCGUGAGUUCGAGCCCCGCGUCAGGCUCUGGGCUGAUG